rnacentral:rRNA from 1 species
GGGUCAGUAGGUUGGACGUGCCACCGGUACGUACUGGUCUCACUGAUUCCUCCUUCCUGAAGAACCGUAAUGCCAUUAAUUUGGUGUUGCGGGGAAACAGGACUGUUACUUUGAAAAAAUUAGAGUGUUUAAAGCAAGCUAACGCUUGAAUACAUUAGCACGGAAUAAUGAAAUAGGACGAUCGAUCCUAUUUUGUUGGUUUCUAGGAUUGACGUA